CCUACGGGUGGCUGCAGUGGGGAAUAUUGCACAAUGGGGGAAACCCUGAUGCAGCGACGCCGCGUGAGUGAAGAAGUCUUUCGGUAUGUAAAGCUCUAUCAGCGGGGGAGAAAAUGACGGUACCUGAGUAAGAAGCCCCGGCUAACUACGUUCCAGCAGCCGCGGUAAUACGUAGGGGGCAAGCGUUAUCCGGAUUGACUGGGUGUAAAGGGAGCGUAGACGGCAGCACAAGACUGGAGUGAAAUGCCGGGGCUUAACCCCGGAACUGCUUUGGAAACUGGGCAGCUUGAGUGCAGGAGAGGCAAGCGGAAUUCGUAGUGUAGCGGUGAAAUGCGUAGAUAUUAGGAGGAACACCAGUGGCGAAGGCGGCUUACUGGACUGUAACUGACGUUGAGGCUCGAAAGCGUGGGGAGCAAACAGGAUUAGAUACCCCAGUAGUC
rnacentral:rRNA from 1 species